rnacentral:rRNA from 1 species
AUUGAACGCUGGCGGCAGGCCUAACACAUGCAAGUCGAACGGUAGCACAGAGAGCUUGCUCUUGGGUGACGAGUGGCGGACGGGUGAGUAAUGUCUGGGAAACUGCCUGAUGGAGGGGGAUAACUACUGGAAACGGUAGCUAAUACCGCAUAAUGUCGCAAGACCAAAGAGGGGGACCUUCGGGCCUCUUGCCAUCAGAUGUGCCCAGAUGGGAUUAGCUAGUAGGUGGGGUAAUGGCUCACCUGGGCGACGAUCCCUAGCUGGUCUGAGAGGAUGACCAGCCACACUGGAACUGAGACACGGUCCAGACUCCUACGGGAGGCAGCAGUGGGGAAUAUUGCACAAUGGGCGCAAGCCUGAUGCAGCCAUGCCGCGUGUAUGAAGAAGGCCUUCGGGUUGUAAAGUACUUUCAGCGAGGAGGAAGGCAUUAAGGUUAGUAACCUUGGUGAUUGACGUUACUCGCAGAAGAAGCACCGGCUAACUCCGUGCCAGCCGCCGCGGUAA